rnacentral:rRNA from 1 species
GAAAGUAAGCAAGGGCGCAUGGCGGAUGCCUUGGCUCUCGGAGGCGAUGAAGGACGUGAUAAGCUGCGAUAAGCUUCGGGUAGGUGCAAAUAACCUUUGAUCCGGAGAUUUCCGAAUGGGACAACCCGAUUGGUUGAAGACCAAUCAUCCAACGUUGUUGGAGGCUAACGCAGGGAACUGAAACAUCUUAGUACCUGCAGGAAAAGAAAAUAAUAAUGAUUCCCCCAGUAGUGGCGAGCGAACGGGGAAUAGCCCAAACCGGUUAUGUUACGGCAUGACCGGGGUAGUAGGACUACGGCAUUGCAUGAAAACAGCAGAGAAGAACUUUCUGGAAAGAAAGACCAUAGAGCAUGAUAGUUGCGUAUUCGAAUGUUGUCGAAGCAUAGUAGUAUCCUGAGUAGCGCGGAGCACGAGGAAUUCUGCGUGAAUCAGCCGGGACCAUCCGGUAAGGCUAAAUACUCCCGAGAGACCGAUAGUGAACCAGUACCGUGAGGGAAAGGUGAAAAGCACUUCGAACAGAAGAGUGAAAUAGUUCCUGAAACCGUGCGCCUACAAGCGGUCGGAGCAGCGUAAGCUGUGACGGCGUGCCUUUUGCAUAAUGAACCUACGAGUUACCGUUGCCGGCAAGGUUAAGGGUCAUGAGACCUGUAGCCGAAGCGAAAGCGAGUCUGAACAGGGCGUAUAGUCGGUAGUGGUAGACGCGAAACCAAGUGAUCUACCCUUGAGCAGGUUGAAGUCCGGGUAACACCGGAUGGAGGACCGAACCAAUAAGCGUUGAAAAGCUUCUGGAUGACUUGAGGGUAGGGGUGAAAGGCUAAUCAAACUUGGAGAUAGCUCGUACUCCCCGAAAUGCAUUUAGGUGCAGCCUUGACCAUUACUAAUGUGAGGUAGAGCGACUGAUAAGAUGCGAGGGCUUCACCGCCUAUCAAGUCUUGAUAAACUCCGAAUGCGCAUUAGUUUGAGGUCAGGAGUGAGGGCAUGGGUGCUAAGGUCCGUGCCCGAGAGGAGAAGAAUCCGGACCACCUGCUAAGGUCCCGAAAUAACAGCUAAGUUAAACUAACGAAGUCAGAUUGCUAAGACAGCUAGGAUGUUGGCUUGGAAGCAGCCAUUCAUUUAAAGAGUGCGUAACAGCUCACUAGUCGAGGAGUUUGGCGUGGAUAAUAAUCGGGCAUUAAGUAUUCUACCGAAGCUUUGGGAUGUGUAAACAUCGGUAGGGGAGCAUUCCACUCAGCGUUGAAGGCGAGGCGUGAGCCUUGCUGGAGCGUGUGGAAAAGCAAAUGUAGGUAUAAGUAACGAUAAAGGGGGUGAGAAACCCCCUCGCCGAAAGACUAAGGUUUCCUGAUCAACGCUAAUCGGAUCAGGGUCAGUCGGGUCCUAAGGCUCAGCCGAACGGCGAGGCCGAUGGCAGAACCGGUUAAUAUUCCGGUACUACCCUUUGGGGUGACGUGGAGACGCAGUCGUGACAAUGCCGCCAGCUGACGGAAUAGCUGGUUAAAGGGUGUAGAAGUUGAUUGUGGCAGGCAAAUCCACCACAAGAUUCGAACCUGACAGUAUGGAGCGUCCUUCCGGACAAUCCAACAGUGCAUGUAAUCAUACUGCCAAGAAAAUCCGCUAAACAUAACCUUCAGGGUACCCGUACCGCAAACGGACACACGUAGUCGGGUUGAAUAUACUAAGGCGCUUGAGUGAUUCACGGUUAAGGAACUAGGCAAAUUAACCCUGUAACUUCGGGAAAAAGGGUCCCUACCCGUUAUCGGGAGGGCGCAGAGAAUCGGUCCAGGCAACUGUUUAACAAAAACACAGGGCUGUGCGAAGUCGAAAGACGCUGUAUACAGCCUGACACCUGCCCGGUGCUGGAAGGUUAAGAGGAGAUGUCAUCGCAAGAGAAGCAUUGAAUUGAAGCCCCAGUAAACGGCGGCCGUAACUAUAACGGUCCUAAGGUAGCGAAAUUCCUUGUCGGGUAAGUUCCGACCUGCACGAAUGGUGUAAUGAUCUGGACACUGUCUCAACCGUGAGCUCAGUGAAAUUGUAGUAUCGGUGAAGAUGCCGAUUACCCGCGAUGGGACGAAAAGACCCCGUGAACCUUUACUAUAGCUUAUCAUUGAAUCUGGGCACGUGAUGUGUAGGAUAGGUCGGAGGCUUUGAAGCAGGUACGCCAGUAUUUGUGGAGCCGCUGUUGAAAUACGACCCUUCAUUUGUUUGAGUUCUAACUCGUAAUACGAGGACACUGAUUGGUGGGUAGUUUGACUGGGGUGGUCGCCUCCAAAAGUGUAACGGAGGCUUCUAAAGGUGCCCUCAGACCGAUUGGUAACCGGUCUCAGAGUGUAAUGGCAUAAGGGCGCUUGACUGGGAGACUAACAAGUCGAGCAGGUAGGAAACUAGAGCAUAGUGAUCCGGUGUUUCCGCAUGGAAGGGACAUCGCUCAAAGGAUAAAAGGUACUCCGGGGAUAACAGGCUGAUCCCUCCCA